GAGUUGGGUGCCAUGGUGUGGUGAAUGGGCUGAGGGACUAGGGUGUCCCCAAAGGGGGACCGUUGUCCAGAAACAGGCCCCCGACAGCUGCUCUCGGGAGCCGCCUCCCGACACCCGAGCCCCGCCGGCGCCUCCCGCUCCCGGCUCCCGGCUCCUGGCUCCCUCCGCCUCCCCCGCCCCUCGCCCCGCCGCCGAAGAGGCCCCGCUCCCGGGUCGGACGCCUGGGUCUGCCGGGAAGAGCGAUGA
rnacentral:lncRNA from 10 species